rnacentral:misc_RNA from 1 species
AUUCUUUUUAACCGACUUCCAAAAAAGGAGGAGGUUCUCAAUUCGACUGUAUUUUUUUUUUUUUUUUUUAUGCCACUCAGACAGCGACAGCGCCCCACGCCGCUCCCCAGGAGAGCGGUGAACGAUCAUCGAGGGCUGGCGGCCAGAGCCGCCGCCCGCCUCACGCUCAGGGCGCCGCGCCACGACUCCUCAUCGCGGCCGGUACGAUCACACGUAGUGUGUAGAUCUCGUGAAGAGCUUACUAUAGAAAUGAUCCUAUGAAGUAAGCUCUUCACGAGAUCUACACACUACGUGUGAUCGUACCGGCCGCGAUGAGGAGUCGUGGCGCGGCGCCCUGAGCGUGAGGCGGGCGGCGGCUCUGGCCGCCAGCCCUCGAUGAUCGUUCACCGCUCUCCUGGGGAGCGGCGUGGGGCGCUGUCGCUGUCUGAGUGGCCUUUUUAAAAU